AGUGAACGCUGGCGGCGUGCCUAAUACAUGCAAGUCGAACGGAGUGGCGCGCGGGUGGGUAAUGUAUAGCUAAUCUGCCCUACACUAGAGGACAACAGUUGGAAAAGACUGCUAAUACUCUAUAGUGUAGGAUGUUGCGAUAUUGUAUCAGCUAGUUGGUGAGGUAAUGGAUCACCAAGGCUAUGACGCAUAACUGGUCGGAUAGGAUGAUCAGUCACACUGUAACGGAGACACGGUUCAGACUCCUACGGGAGGCAGCAGUAGGGAAUAUUGCUCAAUGGGGGAAACCCUGAAGCAGCAUCGCCUCGUGGAGGAUGAUACUUUGCGGAGCGUAAACUCCUUUUGUUAGGGAAGCGGUACCUAACGAAUAAGCACCGGCUAACUCCGUGCCAGCAGCCGCGGUAAUUC
rnacentral:rRNA from 1 species